UACCAGCACCCCGAGUGGUCGGGACGAUUAUUGGGCCUAAAGCAUCCGUAGCCGGUCAUGCAAGUCUUCCGUUAAAUCCAGCCGCUCAACGGUUGGGCUGCGGAGGAUACUACGUGGCUAGGAGGCGGGAGAGGCAAGCGGUACUCAGUGGGUAGGGGUAAAAUCCUUUGAUCCAUUGAAGACCACCAGUGGCGAAGGCGGCUUGCCAGAACGCGCUCGACGGUGAGGGAUGAAAGCUGGGGAGCAAACGGG
rnacentral:rRNA from 1 species